UACGGAGGAUCCAAGCGUUAUCCGGAUUUAUUGGGUUUAAAGGGUGCGUAGGCGGAAUAGUAAGUCAGUGGUGAAAGCCUGUCGCUUAACGACAGAACUGCCAUUGAUACUGCUAAUCUUGAGUAUAAUUGAAGUGGGCGGAAUGUGUCGUGUAGCGGUGAAAUGCUUAGAUAUGACACAGAACACCAAUUGCGAAGGCAGCUCACUAAACUAUAACUGACGCCGAGGCACGAAAGCGUGGGGAUCAAACAGG
rnacentral:rRNA from 1 species